rnacentral:rRNA from 1 species
AUGCUUAACACAUGCAAGUCGAACGAGGUAGCAAUACCGAGUGGCAGACGGGUGAGUAACGCGUGGUCAACCUACCUUCGAGCGGGGGAUAACUAGCCGAAAGGCUAGCUAAUACCGCAUAACACCGUAGCCGGCAUCGGCAUCGGUUGAAAGCAGCAAUGCACUCGAAGACGGGACCGCGUUCGAUUAGUUUGUUGGUGAGGUAAUGGCUCACCAAGACUACGAUCGAUAGCUGGUUUGAGAGAACGACCAGCCACACUGGGACUGAGAAACGGCCCAGACUCCUACGGGAGGCAGCAGUGAGGAAUUUUCCGCAAUGGGCGAAAGCCUGACGGAGCGACGCCGCGUAUGGGAAGAAGGCCUUCGGGUCGUAAACCACUGUCGAGGGGGAAGAUACUGACGGUACCCCUGGAGGAAGCCCCGGCUAACUACGUGCCAGCAGCCGCGGUAAGACGUAGGGGGCAAGCGUUAUUCGGAAUCAUUGGGCGUAAAGCGCUCGUAGGCGGGACAGGAAGUCCGUGCAGAAAGACCUGGGCUCAACUCAGGGACCGGCACGGAUACUCUUGUUUUUGAGGCAAUCAGAGGGUGAUGGAAUUCCCGGUGUAGCGGUGAAAUGCGUAGAUAUCGGAAGGAACACCAGUGG